ensembl:lincRNA
GAAAAUCAGAGGUUUAACUAACAUGAUCAAGAUCUCCUAACCAGGUAAGUGGUGAAGUUGGAAUUUUUACCCAAGUCUGUUUGCUAAAUGUAUGCUCUUCAUCAUUACAUCUACAUAGGACCAGCUACAUAACUUGUAGCACCCAGUGCAAAAUGAAAAUGUAAGUCCACUUGUUAAGAGAUUAUGAAGAAUUUCAAGGGGAUAUCAGUGCAUUAAACAGAGUUGGGACCUUCUGAGUUCCCUGUGUGAUUGCAUAGGUUGUACACCUCCGAAGCCAGCCCUGCUUCCAUGUUUCUCCAGUUUACCUAAUGGCACCCUAGGCUGUGAUCCUAGAACUGAACAUCUGAUGAGUCAAUACAGGGCACGGAGUAGUGCUCUUCACCCUGAGCCAUGAGACCUGCAUCUCAGGUUGCAGAAAACAUGUGGAGCAGAGGUACAGAGCCUUCACUUUGCUGCAGCAACAAAUAAAGUGAGUGAGAAAUGGACCUCCAUAAGGCACUGAAAAGUUGGGGAAUGUUUGUUACUGUAGCCUUACCUAGCCAAAGCUGACUGAUAUACCUUGUCAGCAUUCAACACCAUGUUAAGGAAUAAUUUUCCCCAGGGACUUGCUGUGGAUAAGGGUCAUAUAGCUGUAGAGCUUGCUGGAGAGUAUGUUGGUUUUCAUACGUUGAUAUGAAGGCCAUGGAUGG